AUGGUUGGCGCAUACUCUGGUGUGAAGGUGGGACUCCGCGAAGACGUCGCACAGUACCUGGAAUUGUGUAUUGUGCACAACCUUGUGCUGAGACAACGGAAAACCGCCAUCUUAUUGCUCACUCAAUGCCUCCAUAACACCAAUUUUUCACUCCCGGGCUUUGCAGCAGCCCGGUGUACUUUCCAUAAUACGCCUAUUACACAGGCAUCCUCACUAGCCAUCGCUUACACAAUUACCCGUGUGAUUUUCUCCAUCCCGGCGUGGUUGCCAUCGUCUUCGGUCCCCACCCAGUAUAACUUCGGGCGCCUGCAUCACGGGUGCCCUAAAAAAAUAGGAGACGCGUUCCCCUCCUCCCAGGUUUCUGGUUUCUCCACCCAGUCUCCCCACCGUCCUCCACUCCUCGCACCCCAGCCCUUCCGGCCUCCACCCAGACCGGGGAGAAGCGGGCCUGACAUUCCAGGUAGUUACAGAAAACUUAUUAUCCUGAUGCUGAGAAGCAAACACUUUAAGAGGGACAUCAGCUACUUGUGUCGCAGAGCAGCCCUGUUCCAGAGCAUCACCAGAACUCAUGGCCACAACCAGUGUAACCUCUGCAGUGGGUGUUGUUGUGCUGCCCUCACUAUAUGUGUGAUUCAGUCCUAUCAGUUGUGUCCAACUCUGCACCCCCAUGGACUGUUGCCCUCUGCAAGCUCCUCUGUCCAUGGGAUUUUUCCAGGCAAGAAUACUGGAGUGGGGUGCCAUGCCCUCCUCCAGGGGAUUUUCCCCAACCAGGGAUUGAACCCGUAUCUCUGACAUCUUAUGCAGUGACAGGUAGGUUCUUUACCAUAGUGCCACAGGGGAAGCCCACCAGACAAUGAGCUAGUGUCUUAUUUCACUCUUGUAAUAAUCCAUCAAAGUCCUUAUUAAUACUCUCAUCUCAGUUUAAUAGGAAAAGAGAGAGAGAAAAAGGAGAGUUAGAGGGUGAAUUCAUUUCUUCAACUGAGUGAUGAAAAGAGCUUUGUACCCUCGUCUCCCUGACUUCAAGACCCAGUCUCUUUUCAACCAUUUCACCAUUAAAUCAUGGUGCUAUGUUGCCAAGUAUGGAAGGUUUAAAGUAAGUGAGUGACAAGAUCAAUGCAGAAUUUUGGGUGGAAAAAAAAAGUCUAAACGGGGUGUGCGAUUCUGGAGGGGAAGACACUCUAUUCAUGUCUACCGGAGUUCCUCUGACUGGAAAAUGGAAACCACCUCCCACUUGAUUAAGUGCCUUCCCUGAUGCCUGUCCUCAGAGUCGUUCUCAUUCUCUUCCCUGCUGUGAAGCCAGGUUUAGGAGGAGAUGGAAGAGAUAAGCAGAUGAAUAAAAAUAAGCAGACCAGAUAAUGUUGGCUGAUU
rnacentral:lncRNA from 1 species